AUGAACGCUAGCGGCAGGCCUAAUACAUGCAAGUCGAGGGGCAGCACGGGUAGCAAUAUCUGGUGGCGACCGGCGCACGGGUGCGUAACACGUAUACAAUCUGCCUUUUACAGGGGAAUAGCCCGGAGAAAUUCGGAUUAAUGCCCCAUAACAAGUGAAAUAGCAUUAUUUUACUUUGAAAGCUCCGGCGGUAAAAGAUGAGUAUGCGCAUGAUUAGCUAGUUGGUGAGGGUAACGGCUCACCAAGGCGACGAUCAUUAGGGGAUCUGAGAGGACUACCCCCCACACUGGUACUGAGACACGGACCAGACUCCUACGGGAGGCAGCAGUAAGGAAUAUUGGUCAAUGGAGGCAACUCUGAACCAGCCAUGCCGCGUGCAGGAUGAAUGCCCUAUGGGUUAGUAAACUGCUUUUAUACGGGAGAAAACCCAGAUACGUGUAUCUGGUUGAUAGUACUGUAAGAAUAAGGAUCGGCUAACUUCGUGCCAGCAGCCGCGGUAAGACGAAGGAUCCAAGCGUUAUCCGGAUUCAUUGGGUUUAAAGGGUGCGUAGGCGGGUUUAUAAGUCAGUGGUGAAAGCCGGUCGCUUAACGAUCGAAUUGCCAUUGAUACUGUAGACCUAGAAUAUAGAUGAUGUUGGCGGAAUAUGACAUGUAGCGGUGAAAUGCAUAGAUAUGUCAUAGAACACCGAUUGCGAAGGCAGCUGACAAAACUAUUAUUGACGCUGAUGCACGAAAGUGCGGGGAUCAAACAGGAUUAGAUACCCUGGUAGUCCGCCACAGUAAACGAUGAUAACUAGAUGUUUGCGAUACACAGUAAGCGUCCAAGCGAAAGCGAUAAGUUAUCCACCUGGGGAGUACGCCCGCAGAGGGUGAAACUCAAAGGAAUUGACGGGGGGCUCACACAAGCGGUGGAGCAUGUGGCUUAAUUCGAGGCUACGCGAAGAACCUUAUCCUGGACUUGACAUGUGCGAAAGCGUCCGGAAGUAGCCUGCGGAAACGUAAGGGCGAGCGGUAUCCAGUCCGGAACCGGGUACAGGUGCUGCGUGGCUGUCGUCAGCUCGUGUCGUGAGAUGUCGGGUUAAGUCCCAUAACGAGCGAAACCCUUGUCUCCAGUUGCCAGCGGGUCAAGCCGGGGACUCUGGAGAGACUGCCGGUGUUAAACCGGAGGAAGGCGGGGAUGACGUCAAGUCCUCAUGGCCUUUAUGUCCAGGGCUGCACACGUGCUACAAUGGCGUGUACAAAGGGACGCGAACCAGCGAUGGGGAGCCAAUCCCAAAAAGCACGCCCCAGUUCAGAUCGCAGGCUGCGACUCGCCUGCGUGAAGUUGGAAUCGCUAGUAAUCGCAGGUCAGCAACACUGCGGUGAAUGUGUUCCUGAGCCUUGUACACACCGCCCGUCAAGCCACGGGAAUUGGGGGGAGCCGAAGUCGUCUUUACCCGGCGCCGAAGCUUUCCUCAGUGACUGGGACU
rnacentral:rRNA from 1 species